GACGGAGGAUGCAAGUGUUAUCCGGAAUCACUGGGCGUAAAGCGUCUGUAGGUCGUUUAAAAAGUCUACUGUUAAAAAUUGAAGCUUAACUUCAAAGGUGCCGUAGAAACUUUUAAACUUGAGUAUGGUAGGGUAGAGGGAAUUUCCAGUGGAGCGGUGAAAUGCGUAGAUAUUGGAAAGACCACCAAUGGCGAAGGCACUCUACUGGGCCAUUACUGACACUGAGAGACGAAAGCUAGGGGAGCAAAUGGG
rnacentral:rRNA from 1 species